ACAAACCAAAACAGAAUCAAACAGUGGAUGAAGCAAUGGUGAAAUACAAGGGAAGAUUUUCAAUUAAACAGUACAUGCCAGGAAAACCAAUCAAAAGAGGCAUGAACGUUUGGAUGCGGGCUGAUUCAACAUCUGGAUACUGUCAUCAAUUCAAUGUAUACAUGGGCAAGGACGAUCCAAACAAAGGGCCUAAACUAGGGGAAAAAGUGGUGAAACUGCUAUGCAAGGACCUCAAAUGGAAAGGACACCAUAUAUAUAUGGAUAGAUACUUUACAUCAGUACCAUUGUUUAGAUGUUUAGAAAGAAAUGGCAUUUAUGGAUGUGGUACAAUAAAAUGCACAGCAGUUGGU